rnacentral:ribozyme from 13 species
UCCUUCUUCCUCUUCAUUUCCUUUCUCCUUUCUCUUUCUUUCUCCUUCCAUUUCGGUGCAAUAAUCACAGAGAAGAGAGAGAAA